GUCCACGCCGUAAACGAUGGUCACUAGGUGUACGCGGUAUCGACCCCGCGUGUGCCGCAGCUAACGCAAUAAGUGACCCGCCUGGGGAGUACGGCCGCAAGGUUGAAACUCAAAGGAAUUGACGGGGGCCCGCACAAGCGGUGGAGCAUGUGGAUUAAUUCGUCACAAACCGAAGAACCUUACCAGGGUUUGACAUCCUCGGAACCCGGAUGAAAGUUUGGGGUGCCUCGCAAGAGGAGCCGAGAGACAGGUGUUGCAUGGCUGUCGU
rnacentral:rRNA from 1 species